rnacentral:rRNA from 1 species
AUUGACCGCUGGCGGCAGGCCUAACACAUGCAAGUCGAACGAGUGGCGGACGGGUGAGUAAUGUCUGGGAAACUGCCUGAUGGAGGGGGAUAACUACUGGAAAUGGUAGCUAAUACCGCAUACCAUCGGAUGUGCCCAGAUGGGCUUAGCUGGUAGGGGGGGUAACGGCUCACCUCGGCGACCAUCCCUAGCUGGUUUGAGAGGAUGACCAGCCACACUGGAACUGAGCCACGGUCCGGGUUCCUACGGGAGGCAGCAAGAGGGAGUGUUAGACUAUGGGAGCAAGCCGGAUACAACCAUGCCAAAUGGAUGAAGAAGGCCUUCGUGUUGUAAAGUACUUUCAGCGAGGAGACGUUACUCGUAGAAGAAGCAUCGGCUAACUCCGUGCCAGCAGCCGCGGUAAUAC